rnacentral:rRNA from 1 species
UACGGGGGGGACGAGCGUUGUCCGAAUUUACUGGGCGUAAAGCGCGCGUAGGCGGGUUGGCAAGUCUGCUGUGAAAGCCCGGGGCUUAACCCCGGAGGGUCGGUGGAUACUGCCAGUCUUGAAGGUGCUAGGGGGAGAUGGAAUUACCGGUGUAGCGGUGAAAUGCGUAGAUAUCGGUAGGAACACCAGUGGCGAAGGCGGUCUCCUGGGGCACUCUUGACGCUGAGGCGCGAAAGCCAGGGGAGCAAACGGG